GACGAACGCUGGCGGCGUGCUUAACACAUGCAAGUCGAACGGAGAUUCAGCAAUGGAUCUUAGUGGCGAACGGGUGAGUAACGCGUAGGCAAUCUGCCUUCUAGAUGGGGACAACAUCCCGAAAGGGGUGCUAAUACCGAAUGUUGUACCGUUUCCGCAUGGAGAUGAUACUAAAGGUGGCCUCUGAAUAUGCUACCGCUAGAAGAUGAGCCUGCGUCUGAUUAGCUAGUUGGAGGGGUAACGGCCCACCAAGGCUUCGAUCAGUAGCCGGUCUGAGAGGAUGAACGGCCACACUGGGACUGAGACACGGCCCAGACUCCUACGGGAGGCAGCAGUGGGGAAUCUUCCGCAAUGGACGAAAGUCUGACGGAGCAACGCCGCGUGAGUGAAGAAGGUUUUCGGAUCGUAAAGCUCUUUCGUUAGGGACGAACGUGCUCUUUGUGAAUAAUGAGGAGUAAUGACGGUACCUAAAUAAGAAGCCACGGCUAACUACGUGCCAGCAGCCGCCGUAA
rnacentral:rRNA from 1 species